UCAUGAAGUAUAUAUUGCGCCACAACAUGUGAGUGCAAAGUUAACCCGUUAAGUCAGUGAUCAUGAGGUAUACUAUAUUCUGCGAGACAAUAUUUGUGUGCAAAGCGAUCACAUUAACAUGGUGUAAUAUAUAACACAACCAGGUCAGCUUAUUGUGCAACUAACAAUCGAUACUAGCAAAGACGAAGGCAAAGUUCAACAUAACUACGUUUGGUUGAUAAACCGUGAUCAUUAUGUACAUGGUGUAGUUUCAAAGGUUUAAAGCAGAUAUCAAUAUGUACCGUAGCGUAUUCAGUCUUCGUUCAGAGUGUUACGAACGAAAAACACAAUGGCGGAGAAAGGUUCGGAUUUAAUAUACGAGGUGUGCUGUGUUUUUUGUAAAGACGACAACGUAAAUUGGGAAGCAACAGUUUACUGUAAACAAUGUUCGAAAGGUCUUUGUGAUGAAUGUGUAAAGUAUCAUAAGAAGCUUUACAAAACUCACUCCACUCUUAGAAGAGAAGACAAAAAGAUGUGGCCUGUGGUCGAUACAACAUGAGCGGCUUUGAUGUUUUGUAAACAACACCCAGAUCAUCUCAUUGAGCUGUUUUGUGAAGAUCACAGUUAACUGUGUUGUUUUUUGUGUCACUUCCAUGAUCACAGACAGUGCAGUGAAGUUAGCCUAGUUGACGCAAAAGCCAAAGAAAUGCAUCAAAAAGGAGAGUUUCAUAAAGUUGCAACAAUACUUGAAUCAGAACAACAAACAAUUGAACAAGAAAUCAACACCAUCAAGACAUGCCUUCAGGCUUUGCAAACCUCGCAUGAAAAGGCGCAUGUAGAUAUCAAAGUUAUGCGUCAGAAAAUCACUGCACUUUUGGACACGCUAGAAAGGAACAGUGUGCAAUCUCUAAACACUUCAUACGAAACGUUGCAGAAAUCAUCGCUUCAGUCGCAUCUUUCAAUCUGUUUUAAAGCUCAAGUAGAUUUGCUGCAAAUUAAGGAUGCCAUAAAGGAUAUCGACGAUUAGAAGUACAUAUUUUCAUUUGUGGCAUAUGCGAAGUCAAAGGAAUAGGUUUCCAAGGCACAGAUGAUGAUUAAAACAAUGCCAGAACUUAAGUAUAAUGCCGUUGAAUUUCGCGCUAACACGGAUAUUGAGAAGAUGCUAUCCAUGUCUCUCAGGACUUGGUGAUGUGAUGCGUAUAGAAAAGAAGAAAGUAAGUAAAGCAAAUGAGAAAUUGAAAUGUACCAACUAUGCUAGGUACAAUGUCCGAAUAGACCAAGAUAAAAAGCUGUAAUAUUCGUGGCAUAUCUGAGGUAUCAGGUGGGUAUAUGCUGAUAAGUGACUAUAGUAACAAACGUGUGAAAUUGCUUGAUGGCCAAUGCAAAGUUAUCGCUCACAGAGACCUACCUGGGGCGCCAUGGGACAUGUAAGUCAGUAAGUCCUACUGAGAUCGCUGUUACAAUUGAUGAUCAAAGUACACGCGCUGUGCAAUUCCUUAUUGUGAACAACAGGAAGCUGGUGAAAAACAGGGUAUUGGAGUUGGAAUAUAGUUGUCUAGGCAUCGCACACUUUAAUGGCAAUCUAUUUAUGACAUCGGGUAGUUAUUUGUAUUCACUGGAUGGCGAGCUGGUGAAUAAGAUAUUUGAAGAUAUGUCUGAUAUAUGGACAGGUGAAAAAACAUGUAAGACUAAGAUAGAAAAUUGUGAUAAACUCAACAUUAAUUUUUCUAUUACAAAUAUUAUUUACUUGCUUAAAUCAUGCAUACGCUUUGUUAAAUUUAUACAAAGUUGUAUGGACCAUAAGUGUUCUUGUUUAAAUGUGUAUAUGAUUAAUUGAAUAUAUACACAAAUCGUUUACAUAUAAUAAGGGCAUAAUUUAUUGGAAAAAUUGUGUUUGAACUUUUAUUUUGUUAAGUAAUUUAUCCAGAUUAUGCAGGUUUUUUAUUUAUCGAAUUUAAAGAAUAUGUUACAUGAAAGUUCGAUACAAAAUACUACGAAAACAGAAAAUAUUUUGAUAUACGAGAUUGUCUUUGCACUCAGACAGUAUUGAUAUUACUGAAAUAUUAAUUCAUAAGGAUACACAUAUAUAUAAUUUUGUAACACGUAUAGAUAUUAAUAAUAAUAUAAGGCUAAAAUGAUUAAAUAUUAUUUUAACAUUUUAAUUCAAUGUGUAAACAAAUACUGUCGACCUCAACUCUUGUUUAGUGUUCCAUUGCGUUGUCGCUUCUGAUGGAUCACAGCUGUAUGUUACCGACUAUGAUGACAACAAGCUCCUCACCCUGUCUAUUGACGGGACGGUCCUGUCAUCCUUUGAAGAUCCUACACUUCAAGGUCCUACAGGUGUACAAGUGUCAGAAACAGGACAGUUGCUGGUCUGUUGGUUGGGGUCACACGGCGUUAUCCAAAUGAAUUGUGAGGGAGGACUGGCAACACUGGUUUGCGGGGAUGAUGACCUGUGUCGUCCAUGGUCUGUGCACUACACUGCAAAAAGUAAAAGGUUGUUUGUUGGACACGAUAGUGAUGAUAUUCUUGUAAUCGAUAUACAGUGAUAUACAGUGAGAUGAGAAGAGAAUAAGUGUGACCUAUAUUAAGCAAUACAUGCACAACUAUCAUGCUAAAAUCGUAUACAUGUACACACUAACGAAAUCAAUAUGCAGUAGUCUAAUCGUUUUUAAAAGAGUAUUAUAACAAUAUGUACAACAUCGGUAUUUUGCAUAAAUUUACUUUAAGCACUGUGCAUGCGAUUAUUAUAACAAAACAAAGACUUACACUUUUGUUGCACGGGGCUUACACGAAGAUCAUACAUGGGCAUGCGUGUAACUAUUAAUGUGAACAAAGUUACUGAUGACUUUGGCAGAUGCGUGGAGGCAUGUCAGUCGACGAGAAGUGUCUGCAUUUAAAUGCUAUAAUGAAAGGAUGAUAGCUGGACUUUUCAUUGUUGGUUGUCUUGUGAAAUAUACGUGGACGAUUGAGAACACCGAGUAUGUCUUAAAUGAUAUGACCAUUGAUUGUCGUAUUAUAUAGGUCGUAUGUAUAAUGUUGCAAAGCCAACAUUUAGAGACACCAACGAUUUGCUUCAAUUUAUUACAUCGUAUUUAAGUUAUAUCAGAAUAUUUUAUUAUGAACUUUCAUUGUUUGAACUUGUCAAAUGAAAAGAAGUGAUUUUUAAGGGACUUGUUCACAUAUUUAUUUUCGAUUUUUAUUAAUGAUGAUCAAUAAACGAACAUAUGCUUUUACCAUGAGUCUUGGUCAGUUUAAUUUUGCUUGUUUAAGAUAAUGUAUUAUUUUUUGUAAGACAAUUUUAUUUAGUAAGACAAUUUUUUAAUGGUCGGUUUGUCAUACUGUGAACAGAUCCCUGUAAAGAUUAUAAGAUACAUAAAUAAUACUAUAUUCAUUGUUAACGCACGAAAUGAAUUUUAAUUAGUACUUAUUAAAUAGUUGUUUAUGCGUGUGUUUGUAAGAAUCGUCACAAAGAUUUCCUUUCCCCACUGACUGACCGACCGGCAGCCUAAGGCGUGAAAGGACCUCUUACUUUGAAAUAAGCACACACCUCUAUGGAAUGAUAUUUAGGUAAAAAUUACAUCAUUCAUGGUAAAUAUUUACAAUAUGAUUGACGUUUAUUCUUAUUUGCUUCAUAACAAUUCCAAUAUGA